rnacentral:rRNA from 1 species
CCUACGGGUGGCAGCAGUGAGGAAUAUUGGUCAAUGGUCGCGAGCCUGAACCAGCCAAGUAGCGUGAAGGAUGACUGCCCUACGUGUUGUAAACUUCUUUUAUAAAGGAAUAAAGUCUGGCACGUGUCCCUUUUUGUAUGUACUUUAUGAAUAAGGAUCGGCUAACUCCGUGCCAGCAGCCGCGGUAAUACGGAGGAUCCGAGCGUUAUCCGGAUUUAUUGGGUUUAAAGGGGGCGCAGGUGGGUUGUUAAGCCGGCGGUAAAAAUCCGGGGCUCAACCCUGUCGAGCCGUCGAAACUGGCAGUCUUGAGUGGGCGAGAAGUAUGCGGAAUGCGUGGUGUAGCGGUGAAAUGCAUAGAUAUCGCGCAGAACGCCGAUUGCGAAGGCAGCAUGCCGGCGCCAAACUGACGCUGAGGCACGAAAGCGUGGGGAUCGAACAGGAUUAGAUACCCGAGUAGUC